rnacentral:rRNA from 1 species
GAUGGACGCUAGCUACAGGCUUAACACAUGCAAGUCGAGGGGAAACGGCAUUGAGUGCUUGCACUCUUUGGACGUCGACCGGCGCACGGGUGAGUAACGCGUAUCCAACCUUCCCAUUACUGUGGGAUAACCUGCCGAAAGGCAGACUAAUACCGCAUAGUCUUCGAUGACGGCAUCAGAUUUGAAGUAAAGAUUUAUCGGUAAUGGAUGGGGAUGCGUCUGAUUAGCUUGUUGGCGGGGUAACGGCCCACCAAGGCGACGAUCAGUAGGGGUUCUGAGAGGAAGGUCCCCCACAUUGGAACUGAGACACGGUCCAAACUCCUACGGGAGGCAGCAGUGAGGAAUAUUGGUCAAUGGACGGAAGUCUGAACCAGCCAAGUAGCGUGCAGGAUGACGGCCCUAUGGGUUGUAAACUGCUUUUGUAUGGGGAUAAAGUUAGGGACGGGUCCCUAUUUGCAGGUACCAUACGAAUAAGGACCGGCUAAUUCCGUG